AUCUAGAGGCAUACAACCCUGCAUAUACCAGAUUUCAUCUGAUCUCAAAAGCUAAGCAGGGUUGGGCCUGGUUAGUACUUGUAUAGGAAACUAAAUUCCUUUGUGUU
ensembl:rRNA 5S_rRNA 5S ribosomal RNA